GCGGAUAUGGCGGAAUUGGCAGACGCGUACGCUUGAGGGGCGUAUGGCCUUAGGUCGUGUGGGUUCGAGUCCCAUUGUCCGCA
rnacentral:tRNA from 1 species